rnacentral:lncRNA from 1 species
AACCACUACUGUAGGGAAAGAAUAGAAUUGGUGAUAGUUCCCGAACCUUUGAUUUAAGGAGUUGGGUGCAUGGUGCUGUCGUUUGCUAUAAGGGAAUUUUUGCCUCUUUUGUUCACUGCAGUGUCCCACCACCUAGAACCAUGCUUGAACAUAUCCAAGGCAGGCUGUGAGGAAUCCACUAAUCCAGCCCAGUAAGUGGACAGUGCAUGUGGCGGUGCCAGCCCGAACAAGAAGACAGGCGCUCCUGCAUCUUAAGGACAUCCCUGCACCCUCCCGCCUUCCAGUGUUCAAGCACUGUAGCUCUUCCCAUCAAUGCUGCUCAGAUAAUAAAGAAUCUGCCCGCAAUGCAGGAGACCCAGGUUCAAUCCCUGGAUUGGGAAGAUCCCUGGAGAAGAGAAUGGCAAUGCACUCCUGUAUUUACCUGGAGAGUUCCAUGGACAGAGGAGCCUGAUGGGCUGCAGUCCAUGGGGUCUCACAGAGUCGGACAUGACCAAGUAAUUAACACCUUCAACAAAGCUGCGAACAAGGUGCUGGUGACAGACUGAAACAGUGAACUGGACUAGAGUGCUGGCACAGCAUGUGGCCUCAGGAGAGUUCUGUUAACCUCCGUGCUUCUGUGUUCUUGUCUCUUGGGGACCUUAUAACAUUGUUGAAACUGGGGCCAUUUUGAAGAUUAUAAACAUAUAUAUAUUUCAUUUAGAGUGGAACCUAGGUUAAUUUCUACUACUUUAUGUUUCUUUGUUCAAUGUCUUUUGAGUACUUUCCCUGUGUCAAGCACAGUUCCGGGUGAAAAAGACAGUUAUGAACAGGAGAUAGAGUCCUGCUUUUACACAGUUGGCAUUCAUUUAAUGGGAGACAGAACAUAAUCAAAAUAUAAAUGGAAG